rnacentral:rRNA from 1 species
UACGUAGGGUGCAAGCGUUGUCCGGAAUUAUUGGGCGUAAAGAGCUCGUAGGCGGUUUGUCGCGUCUGCUGUGAAAACGCGAGGCUCAACCUCGCGCCUGCAGUGGGUACGGGCAGACUAGAGUGCGGUAGGGGAGAUUGGAAUUCCUGGUGUAGCGGUGAAAUGCGCAGAUAUCGGGAGGAACACCGGUGGCGAAGGCGGUUCUCUGGGCCUGUGCUGACGCUGAGGAGCGAAAGCGUGGGGAGCGAACAGG